rfam:Pelodiscus sinensis unplaced genomic scaffold scaffold49, whole genome shotgun sequence.
CCAAAGGCUCUUUUCAGAGCCACACACUAACUCGUGAAAAGAGCCG